rnacentral:tmRNA from 1 species
GGGCUUGUACCGGUUUCGACGGGGAUCAUGCAUCCGGAGAAGCUAUCCGCAAGGCAUUGCGUCAACAUCCAAACUUAAAUAUAAACGCUAACGAUUCAUUCGAAGCAGUAGCUGCCUAAGUGCAGCUUGUCGCCCCUCUGUAUCUGUUCGGAGGACCAGCGGCAUCAUCAAAACAGACAACGCUAUAUACAAAGCUUUGAGUAUGUAGUUGUAUCAUGAAGCUAGUAUUUCAAUAAUGGCGUCUGUCACAUAGUUGGAAUAUGAAUUAAAUCCGGCAGAAUAUGAUAGUAGAAGUACGAGGAAUUGGUUUUCGGACAGGGGUUCGACUCCCCUCAGGUCCAUAU